AAAAUUUUUUACCAAAAAAUUUUUCUAAUAUUUUUUUAUUGUCUUGUUUUCUUCAUGGGUAAAUGCUAUAUUAGUACUAAUCAACUUACAUAAAGUGUAGUUGAUAUAUAUUUUCGAGCACUUUCGUGCAGGAUUUUUUAGGAGGAUUAAAUAUGCAAAACGGUAAAGUAAAAUGGUUUAACGCAGAAAAAGGAUUUGGAUUCAUCGAAGUAGAAGGUGGAGACGAUGUAUUCGUACACUUCUCAGCAAUCCAAUCUGAAGGUUUCAAAACUUUAGAAGAAGGUCAAGAAGUAACUUUCGAAAUCGUUGAAGGUGCUCGUGGUCCUCAAGCAGCUAACGUAAACAAAGCUUAAUUUGAACCCUAACAUUAAUGAAUAAACCUAUAAAUAAAAAGACUACCUUUGGGUGGUCUUUUUUUG
rnacentral:sRNA from 1 species